rnacentral:rRNA from 1 species
UAGCAAUACGGCAGCGGCAGACGGGAGAGUAACACGUGGGAACGCGCCCUUCGGUUCGGAAUAACUCAGGGAAACUUGGGCUAAUACCGGAUACGCCCUAACGGGGAAAGAUUUAUUGCCGAAGGAACGGCCCGCGUCCGAUUAGCUUGUUGGUGAGGUAACGGCUCACCAAGGCGACGAUCGGUAGCUGGUCUGAGAGGAUGACCAGCCUCACUGGGACUGAGACACGGCCCAGACACCUACGGGAGGCAGCAGUGGGGAAUAUUGGACAAUGGGCGCAAGCCUGAUCCAGCCAUGCCGCGUGGGUGAUGAAGGCCCUAGGG